UGUGUAGGCGGCUAAGUAAGUCGGAUGUGAAAGCCCCGGGCUCAACCCGGGAAGUGCACUCGAUACUGCCUAGCUAGAGUGUCGGAGAGGUUGGUGGAAUUCUCGGUGUAGAGGUGAAAUUCGUAGAUAUCGAGAGGAACACCGGUGGCGAAGGCGGCCAACUGGACGAACACUGACGCUGAGACACGAAAGCGUGGGGAGCAAACA
rnacentral:rRNA from 1 species